rnacentral:rRNA from 1 species
GACGAACGCUGGCGGCGUGCUUAACACAUGCAAGUCGAACGGAAAGGCCCUGCUUUUGUGGGGUGCUCGAGUGGCGAACGGGUGAGUAACACGUGAGUAACCUGCCCUUGACUUUGGGAUAACUUCAGGAAACUGGGGCUAAUACCGGAUAGGAGCUCCUGCUGCAUGGUGGGGGUUGGAAAGUUUCGGCGGUUGGGGAUGGACUCGCGGCUUAUCAGCUUGUUGGUGGGGUAGUGGCUUACCAAGGCUUUGACGGGUAGCCGGCCUGAGAGGGUGACCGGCGACAUUGGGACUGAGAUACGGCCCAGACUCCUACGGGAGGCAGAAGUGGGGAAUAUUGCGCAAUGGGCGGAAGCCUGAUGCAGCAACGCCGCGUGCGGGAUGACGGCCUUCGGGUUGUAAACCGCUUUCGCCUGUGACGAAGCGUGAGUGACGGUAAUGGGUAAAGAAGCACCGGCUAACUACGUG